rnacentral:tRNA from 1 species
GGCUAUAGCUCAGCUGGGAGAGCGCUUGAUUUGCAUUCAAGAGGUCCGUGGUUCGAUCCCGCGUAGCUCCACCAUA